rnacentral:rRNA from 1 species
AACGAACGCUGGCGGCAUGCCUAACACAUGCAAGUCGAACGAGACCUUCGGGUCUAGUGGCGCACGGGUGCGUAACGCGUGGGAACCUGCCCUUAGGUUCGGAAUAACUCCCCGAAAGGGGUGCUAAUACCGGAUAAUGUCUUCGGACCAAAGAUUUAUCGCCUUUGGAUGGGCCCGCGUUGGAUUAGCUAGUUGGUAGGGUAAAAGCCUACCAAGGCGACGAUCCAUAGCUGGUCUGAGAGGAUGAUCAGCCACACUGGGACUGAGACACGGCCCAGACUCCUACGGGAGGCAGCAGUGGGAAAUAUUGGACAAUGGGCGAAAGCCUGAUCCAGCAAUGCCGCGUGAGUGAUGAAGGCCUUAGGGUUGUAAAGCUCUUUUACCCGGGAUGAUAAUGACAGUACCGGGAGAAUAAGCUCCGGCUAACUCCGU